UACGUAGGGGGCAAGCGUUGUCCGGAUUUAUUGGGCGUAAAGAGCGUGUAGGCGGCUUGGCAAGUCCGCUGUGAAAACUCGAGGCUCAACCUCGAGACGUCGGUGGAAACUGCCUGGCUAGAGUCCGGAAGAGGAGAGCGGAAUUCCUGGUGUAGCGGUGAAAUGCGCAGAUAUCAGGAAGAACACCCGUGGCGAAAGCGACUCUCUGGAACGGUACUGACGCUGAGACGCGAAAGCGUGGGGAGCGAACAGG
rnacentral:rRNA from 1 species